rnacentral:lncRNA from 1 species
AUAUAUAUAUAUAAUUUUUUUUUGAUUUGGAAGAUUCUUGUUUAAAAAAGUCAACACAAAAAUAAUCUGUGACCUUCAUAAGUAUCGAGUUUGUUUUCAGUAAGAUGUGAAAUAUCAAACUCAGUAAUUUUCAUUGGCUAUAAUUAAUAUAUACAAACUCUUUUAAAGAAAUUCUGAAACGUUUUUUGUCUGAAAUCUGGAGAGAGUUUGAAUGUGGAACCCAGACCUCAGGUCUUCCCUGUAGCUUUGCCUGUAUUGCAACUUGUCAUUGACCAAGUCCUGAUGCCCAAGAUGUUUUUGCUUACUCAAGGCCUGUUCUCCAAGUUUAAGCUGUGGCACGCUCAGGGGAGUCAGAGUGUGAGAAAGGUAAUUGUCACGUAGGUUCACGGCGCGUGUGUGUGAAUCUGGGCCAUGAAGAAGAUGCUUGAUAUGGAUGGUUCACAGGGAGGGAAGCACUAAAGGAAAACAAAGGCUGCAAAGGAAGAACACAAGAUGUAUAGUAAGGGAAGCAAAGAGUCUGCCCGUCUUGAGUGGACUGUCCAUCUCAUAGAAUGGAGAAAGAGAAAUACGAUGGAACAACGGCCUGGGCUGCCAUGUUGGAAGACACACCACAUCCGGAAGAGCCACGUUCACUGCCAAGGAGAAAUCGACGUGCACUUUGUGUUACUGAAUGCCACAAAGGUUAUGAUGAAUUUGGAGAUGUUUGUAAAAUAAUAGUCCUGAGAGCUUCACAUGGACUCCAUGGGACGUUUGGCUUAGUCCCUACUCUGAGGCUGAUAAAUCAUAUCGCAACUCUGCAAACGAGUCAACAGAAGCGCUGGGAAGUUAAGUGACGCUCUAGGCCUUGCAUCUUGUUUGAGUAUUGUGAGUGGGGAACUAGAACACAGAAGAUGCCCAUCAGCUUGUGUAGAGUUUCCUUCAUUGCAUCACACUGCAUUUUAACUAUUUAUUUAUUUAUUUUUCACUUUAAAAAAGUUUUAUUAUGGAAUUUAUUAAUUCCAAAUAUAUCCAAAAUUACAGAAUAGUAUAAAAACCCUCAUCUGCCCAACAUCCAGAUUAAAUAAUGAUCAACUUAUGGUCAAUCUUCUUCCGUCUACACCCCAAUUUACUUUCCUUCCCCCAUAUUUUUUUGAAGUAAACCCUAGACAUUACACACAAUGGACACACACAAAAGAUAAUAUUUAAGUUUAUAUUGAUGCUUCCAAAG